AAUGAUUCUCUCUCUCUCCCUCUCCCUUCCUCUCUGAAAUAAAUAAAAAUAUAUUUUAAAAAGAAACAAGGUAUAAAUAAACAUUAAAAGCUUAGUCACUCAUUGAUGUGUGCUUGCUUUAAUAGGAUGUACAUGAUGAUUUCCUCAUUUUCCCUAUUAUGUGUGUCCAUCCAGUGACAUGUCCACAAUGAUGCUCAUUCCUCAAAGAACACUAGCUUUCUGGUUUCUGUGCUGUUCUUGAAUAGUUUUGAUUCUCUUUGUUCACUUAUCUUUCAACAUGUAUUUAUUGAAUCUCAAUUCACUGUUUAUUGCUAUCUCCCUAAUUAUGAGCAUUUAAUCAUUUUUGUGUACUGAAGUAGUCCCUAGUAUGCAGUCAGUACUCCAUACAUAUUUGUUGGAUUGACGUCUAUCAUACCAAUUUCAUUGCACAUAAUCUUACCUGAGGUAGUGACUGCUGGCAGGUUAAAGAUCUCAGUUCCUGGCUGAGCAGCUGCUGUAUUUAAAUAAACAUUCAAGUUAACUGAAAUGUGAUAAUCAUGUACAUAACAAAAAGAUAGUCUCAAAAAUAUCCCAUAAUAAAAUUGACUGUUUUUUCCCAUGAUCUCAACUUUAUUUUUCACUCAUUAAUAUAAAGUGAAAGAAAUAAUCUUUUUAAAGAAAGGAAAUCAGAAACAUUUGAGGUGAGGUAGGAAAAGCAAACAGGACCGAUACAACCCAGCGGAAGGACAGACUGCACUGCUAGAGAAGCCCAGCAGGAGGGGCUCCCAGCCCAGGGCCAGGCUCCUGCAGAUGGCGGCAGGUUUGAGGCCGCUUAAUGAUUAGUGUGAAAAGGACCUGUGUUUCCCUACCAGGGUUAACUGGAAACUUCACCAGUUAUCAGGAUUAGACAAACAUUCUGCCUGGUGAUUCUUUUCAUUCCUGCUAACUACAAUCUCUACUUUGUAUAGUUUGAAUGACAACAGCUGGCACAACCUGGGAACUAUUAUACCUAUAAAAAGCACUGUGCCAGAAACAGAAGGAAUUUAUUCAAUAGUAACAAAUGGUGUUUUUCAUCAUAUCCCCCAACUUCAUGUAAACAUCUGG